UUCAGCAUCUGCCCGUGCUUCAUGUUCUUGCAGCCUGAGGAGACAAAGGGACGAGGAGGAAGAUGAUGUAGAAGACUCUGAGGGUCCUGUGUGCUUGCAGGGGUUGUGGGAUCUGCUCCACCUCUCCAGCCUCCUGCCCAGUGUGUUUGCUGUUAUUUAAUAAAACAGACACUUUGAAUGCCACGACUUCUGACCCAGCAAA